CGAGGAAUACAAAAGAAAAAAACAUGAGUUUUUUUAGCUUUAGGUCUUCGUUUCAGCCACAGGAAAACAUGGGCACCGUUUCCUUUUCUACUUCGCAUCCUGAACCUUUUGGAUUUCCUUGGGAUUGCUGCAUUGAUCCACGCUGCUCAGACUCAGUGAGAGACCGUUAUCUCCAGAAUCAGAGGGAGAGAUUAAACGUGACACAGAAGUGCCUGAGCUCUUGUUUCUGCAGAAAUGACUGACGCUGCAGCAGGAAUCCAGAUCGUAGACAGGUCCCGCGCUCCUCAAACUGUCAGGAGUUUAAAGGAGGAUGCUGGCAGAACCUGGAGCGCGGAAGGAGGAGGAGGAACUUGGGAAUGUAUGACAGACCAGCUGCCCACAGGUCCACUUCUGAUUGGCUGGAAUAGAACAAAAAAAAAAAAAAAGAGCCAAUUUUUGAGGCAGAGUUAGAGGAAAACCCGUCGGAGGUCUCCGGGGGAUGUGAUGGUGUUACACUGGGGACACAGCUUCUUUGCACCCUGUGGAAAUAAAGAUUACUCUCAUAUUA